rnacentral:lncRNA from 1 species
GCGAAUCGGUGGUCGAUUGAAGUUUUGAUGACAUAGCGGUCGGAUUCACCUUGGUUGUAUAUCCUAAGGUGGAGAUGUGACUAGACCUCAAGUAUAUGUAUUGAGGUGGGUCGAACUAGAUCCUAAGUAUAUGUGUUAAGACCUAGUCGAUAUUAAACUCUAUGUAUUAGAGUCUAAUUGGCUUUAAGUAUAUGUCUUAGAGUCCGAUUAUAUUCACCUUGAUUGUAUAUUCCAGGGUGGAGACGUGACCAGAUCUCAAGUAUAUGUAUUCAGGUGGGUCGAAUUUGACAUUACCCGAGAGUGGCUAAUUUCUGAGUGUAUGUAUCAAGAUUAGCCGAGUUUGAUAUGUUUUCACUCUAGUUAUAUGUGCUAGAGUGAAGAUCUGACUAAGCCCUAAGUAUAUGUAUUAGGAGUAGUCGGAUUUGAUUUGUAUGAGUUCUAAGUAUAUGUGUUAGAACUCGAUCGGGUAUGGAUUUCACUCUAGGCAGAUGUGCUAGAGCAAAAGGCUGACUAGA